UCUAUUAAUAACUUCGGUUAUCUCACCCCUGCUACUCCAAACCAAAAUCGAUUUAUCCUCUUUAGUUCAACAGGGAAACAACAACGUGGUCGGAUCGUUGGUGGUAUAUCUACUUAUGGACUUAGUUUAAUCCCUCCGUUCCUUGUCAAUGUUUCCUCCACCGCCUCUCCCUGUUUGCUCUACCUUCGAAAAAAAGGAGGGCAGCCGUCGUGACGGUGCCGACCACCGGAAAGUGCAAACGAACUCGAUUAGGGCAUAAUGCAAUCAUUCAUGAUGCCAAAGGUAAAAUCGUCUUCUCACAUCAUGUUUAUACGGACUCGGAACCAUCGAUUCGUUUGUGAGGUGCUACCUCAGCCAAAGAAUGCAUUGGGGAAACGGUACAACAAGUUAUUUCAGAUGAAUCAACUAAGUUAACCUACACUAUACAGAAAGUGCUUUGAGAUUAAUUGCAAGAAAAGCAAUAACUAAGAACACUGGGGCCGUGGUCUGAGGGCGUUAUUGGAAAACAUAUUGAUGGAUGCCAUGUAUGA